GUAGGGGGCAAGCGUUAUCCGGAUUUACUGGGUGUAAAGGGAGCGUAGACGGAUGGACAAGUCUGAUGUGAAAGGCUGGGGCUCAACCCCGGGACUGCAUUGGAAACUGCCCGUCUUGAGUGCCGGAGAGGUAAGCGGAAUUCCUAGUGUAGCGGUGAAAUGCGUAGAUAUUAGGAGGAACACCAGUGGCGAAGGCGGCUUACUGGACGGUAACUGACGUUGAGGCUCGAAAGCGUGGGGAGCAAACAGGAUUAGAUACCCCGGUAGUCCUAGCCCUAAACGAUGAGUGCUUGGUGUGGCGGGUAUCGAUCCCUGCCGUGCCGAAGCUAACGCAUUAAGCACUCCGCCUGGGGAGUACGGUCGCAAGGCUG
rnacentral:rRNA from 1 species